UUGAACGCUGGCGGAAUGCUUUACACAUGCAAGUCGAGCGGCAGCGCGGGGCAACCUGGCGGCGAGCGGCGAACGGGUGAGUAACAUCUCGGAACGUACCCUAUCGUGGGGGAUAACACAUCGAAAGAUGUGCUAAUACCGCAUACGACCUGAGGGUGAAAGCGGGGGAUCGCAAGACCUCGCGCGACAGGAGCGGCCGAUCUCGGAUUAGCUAGUUGGUGAUGUAAGGGCUCACCAAGGCGACGAUCCGUAGCUGGUCUGAGAGGACGACCAGCCACACGGGAACUGAGACACGGUCCAGACUCCUACGGGAGGCAGCAGUGGGGAAUUUUGGACAAUGGGCGCAAGCCUGAUCCAGCAAUGCCGCGUGCAGAAUGAAGGCCUUCGGGUUGUAAACUGCUUUUGUACGGAACGAAACGGUUCUCUUUAAUAAAGAGGGCUAAUGACGGUACCGUAAGAAUAAGCACCGGCUAACUACGU
rnacentral:rRNA from 1 species